rnacentral:rRNA from 1 species
AGCGAACGCUGGCGGCAGGCCUAACACAUGCAAGUCGAACGAACCUUUCGGGGUUAGUGGCGGACGGGUGAGUAACACGUGGGAACGUGCCUUUAGGUUCGGAAUAACUCAGGGAAACUUGUGCUAAUACCGAAUGUGCCCUUCGGGGGAAAGAUUAAUCGCCUUUAGAGCGGCCCGCGUCUGAUUAGCUAGUUGGUUGAGGUAAUGGCUCACCAAGGCGACGAUCAGUAGCUGGUCUGAGAGGAUGAUCAGCCACAUUGGGACUGAGACACGGCCCAAACUCCUACGGGAGGCAGCAGUGGGGAAUCUUGCGCAAUGGGCGAAAGCCUGACGCAGCCAUGCUGCGUGAAUGAUGAAGGUCUUAGGAUUGUAAAAUUCUUUCACCGGGGACGAUAAUGACGGUACCCGGAGAAGAAGCCCCGGCUAACUUCGUG